CCUGGUGAGUAUACGUACGGGGAAACGCCUGUUCCCAUUCCGAACACAGAAGCUAAGCUCGUACGGCCGAUGGUAGUCCUUGCGGGUGAGAGUAGGUUAUCGCCAGGA
rnacentral:rRNA from 1 species